ACAGGGCUUCCGGGCAGCCCUUGCAUUCCCUGGAUUAACUUAGGUGUUUGGUCAGACCCAGGAACUGUGGUCGCUAAGGCCAGUGCUGGACCACAUCCUUGCUUUCCCUUCUGACUUCAAAGUCGCUCUUCAUGGCUGCUAACAAGUGACAGACUUUUGCAACCUCUCUGCCUCCAGUCUGGGUGGAUGAUACAAUAUAUGAAAUAAGUUGUAUUAAGAAGUGAUCAUCAGCCCAUAAAAUACAGUAUAGUUCUGAUUAUUGGUAACUACUGCCCUGUCAGUCAAUCUAGGUUAACUUAGGGCAAUAUGAAAGUCAUGAGUAAGUUUAGAAACCUACUGGGGGCUGGAGCAAUGGCUCAACACCUAAGAGUACUGGCUGCUCUUACAGAGGACCCAGGUUCACACCUGCCAGUAGCUCCAGUUCCAGGGAAUCUGACACCCCCCACACAAGACACACGCAGGCAAAACACCAGUACACAGAAAAUAAACACUGACAAGACCAAAAAACCAAAACCAAAAAAACAACAAAAAACAAACAAACAUAUUCUGGAUAAAUGGAAUGGCUCAGUAGAUAAAAAUACCCUUUGAGUAAGGCUGGCACCUAAGUCUGUCUGAACCCCCCUCCCCCCCCCCCGAACUGAACCAUAAAGUUUGUCCUUUCAGAUCUGCACAUGCACUGUGGCAUGCUCUUGUCUGAAUUCACACAAAAAGAAUUGGGGGGGUGGGGUGGAGAGACAUGAUAAGUCAGCAGUUAGGGUCCUUGCUACUCACUAGGAUUGAGGUCUCAGUCCCAUGUAGGACAGCUUGCUGCAGCAGCCCUCAUCUGGCUCCCACUGGUACUUGGAACACAGGCACAUGCUCACAAAUAUUUAAAAAUCAUAAAAAUAAUUAAGAAACCCAACAACUGCGUAAAUGGGGCAAGGUGACUAAAGCCUCUAAUACCAGCAAUUGGGAGGUAGAGACACAAUGAUCAGGAGCAGCUUAAGGCCAGCCUCAGCUACAUAGCAAGUUUGGGGCUGGCCUGGGGUUGGUUACAUGUGAUUCUGUGUUCUGAGUAGUAGGUUCAAGUGAAUGAACAGACUGGGAAUCCGACCCACAGCUUUUUUCUUUGUCUGUUUUAAUUUUGCCACCUAGAGGAUAAGUUAGGUGCUGGCCACCUGAGUUAUUUUGUAUUCUGAAUUGCUUUGUUUUGAAAAUGAGACGAAGAUAUAAUUUCACUGUGCGUUUAUCUUCUUUUUUUAAAAAAAAAAAAAGAAUUUAAUUCAUUGCUUUAAAAAGUAAAAACCAGUACUCAAAGUUGUUGAUCAUCAGUAAGAAACUUUCAUGUGCUUUUUGUAAAUACUGCCUAAUGAAACAACUGGACCAGGGGGGAAGAUGAUGCUGUUAUUUUAAAACUUAAGUUCUCCUAUACUGUUGGUAGAAAACGGGUUGAUUGUGGAUCAGUGGUAAAGAGUUGGAGCUCCUAAGAACCCCUGACUCUGGUAAUGUCAGUUCCUGCUGUCACUGGGGACUAGGCGUGCUCCAUUUCGAAGUGAGCCUACUCUAGUUUUUGAAUGUUUCUCAUGAUAAUUUGUAUGCUUACACAUUGAAGGUAUUUUUUUGAAGUACUAACAUUCAUUCUUUGGUUCAAAUGU
rnacentral:lncRNA from 1 species